UACGUAGGGUGCAAGCGUUAAUCGGAAUUACUGGGCGUAAAGCGUGCGCAGGCGGCUAUGCAAGACAGAUGUGAAAUCCCCAGGCUCAACCUGGGAACUGCAUCCGAUACUGGAUGGCUUGAAUCCGGGAGAGGGAUGCAGAAUUCCAGGUGUAGCGGUGAAAUGCGUAGAUAUCUGGAGGAAUACCGGUGGCGAAGGCGGCAUCCUGGACCGGCAUUGACGCUGAGGAGCGAAAGCUAGGGGAGCAAACGGG
rnacentral:rRNA from 1 species